rnacentral:lncRNA from 1 species
AGCCCUCCAAGCUUUGAGGGACAUUCAGCCUUGCACCAUGACCUCGUGGACCUUUUCAUUCAUUCGAGGUUCAGAGAGCUGUUUUCCAAAUGUGUGUGUUUUCCUGGAUGAUGGGGGAGGAACCCUAGCAGCCUACAUGGCGCUCAGCAGCAUUAGGCAUGAUGACAUUAAUAUUUUAGUGUUACACAAAGAUGUAGCAUUACAUGUAAUAAAUUGCUCAAAAAUAGGUAUGUUUGUUUCUGGCUUCAUUCUGGGCAGUCUGUGCUGCUUGGCCAGGGAGCUCAUAAGUUCCUGCUGCUGGCUUCAUUGUUUCAGAGAGUUGUUUCCAUUGACAGAGGAGUUAUACUUACUGAAGGUCUUAGCUUUCCAUCAUUCUAUCAAAUGGAGGCACACUGUCUGCAUGGCUGGAAAUUUUUUCUGUGUGAUUAUAGCCAUUUCAAGUUAUUAAACUGGGCUAGGCACUGCUUUUCAAGGCGAGGACACGUGUGACCCAUGCAACACUGUUGACCUUCAGAUCAAGUCUGAAGCAUAGUGUAC